rnacentral:misc_RNA from 1 species
UUUUUUUUUCUAGAGAGUGAAUAUCCUCUCAUUUGGUUUUGCUCUUUGGUCUUCUCGAGUCUCUGUUGAGGGUCACCAGUGGGCUUCCCCUUCCUUGGCGUCUUUUUGUAGUGGUGUGAAGGAUACCCCUCUCUUGGUAUCUUUUUGCAGUGGGGUGAAGGAUUCCCUUCCCUUUCCCGGUUUAGUUUGUUCAUAGUUUUUAUGGGUUUGGUUUGUUUACAGAUCUUGGAGGUUAUCGAGGUGAGGAUGGAAUAAGGAAGAUUUGAUUAAUGGUGUUGUGUGAUUUGCUUUCCUGGGUCCUGAAAUAGCCCGUUGCCUGUUGGGUGCCUUUCGGCUGUGAUGGAAGACAACAAGGACGACUGCUUAGGGAUUAAAGGCCUAGUGUUAAAAAUGAUGGUUGCUGACUCUCCAUGACUAGAUCGAGACUG